GGUUAAGAGCACUGGCUGCUCUUCCAGAGGUUCUGAGUUUCAUUCCCAGCACCCACAUGGCUGCUCACAACUGUCUGUAACUCCAGUUCCGGGGGAUCCAACGCCCUCUUUUGAGCUCCUUGGGAACCAGGUGGGCACAUGACACACAGACAGAUGUGCAGGCAAAGCACACACACACAUAAAAAUAAAUAAAUAAAUAAAUAAAUGUGUAAGGGAAAGGCGACGGCUGAGUCUGUGGCUCAGCUGGAAGAAGGCUUGCCUAGCACACAAGACUCUGAAGCCCUGGGUUAAAUCCUCAGCCCUAAGUAAUGGCAGCAUGGUGGCACUUGCCUAAAAGCCAGCACUCAGGACAUGGAGACCAGACAAUCAGAAGUUCAAGAUCACCAACGGUACAGGAAGUUGGAGGUCAGUCUGGUUCACAUGAGACCCUGUCAAAAAUAAAAUAAAAUAAAAUAAAAUAAAAUAAAAUAAAAUAAAAAAGGGAGAAAGAUGCCAGAGAGCUCAGCAGGUAAGAGAACUGACUCAUCUUUCAGAGUGCUUGGGUUUGAUUUUCAGCAUCCGCAUGGUGGCUCUCAACCAUCGGUAAGUCCAGAUCUAAGGGGCCUGGCUCCCUUUUCUGGCCCUCAAGGGCACCAGGCACCCACAGACAUACAUGUAGGCAAAACAUACGCACAUAAAGUUAACAUUGGAAACAAAAAAAUUAAGGGUCAAGAACAAAACUGGGCACAGUGGUGCAUGCCUGUAAUUCCCACAUUUUGAAAGCCCAGUCAAGAGGUUGGAGAGUGAGGGCAACCUCGGCCACACAGUGAGACCCUGUCUGUCUCAAGGCCGAUCAAGAAACAAGCCACACCAGAGAAAACACGGGAAAGAGCAGCAUCCGUUUGUCUCAAAGCUCUGUGAGAACUGGACAAGAGUGGUCGAGGUUCACCAAGUGUGAACCGGUCUUCUCGAGCAAGGACCGGGAGGAAUUCCCGAAACCGGAGGGGCAGAGCUGGGACUAAGCCGCCACGGAGGGACUUCUGAGAGUAAAUGACUUUUAAAAGCCACAGCUAACCAACAGUUGGAUCUGGAUUCGGACCCAGAUCUUUCAGUUCCAACUCCCGGCUACUUUCCAUUACUGCGCAUGGCCGGAUGCCUCGGUCCACUGGGACUUUCCUCUCACUCGCUCAGCAUUCGGGACUUACCCCAACAGUCCCCUCCCCCCCCCCCCCCAGAUGCCAAGGCCAUUAGCCCUUCAUUCCUAUUAUGCGAGGCCACACCCCGCUCUCCUUCGGGAAUGGUGCAAGUAAGGUUUCUUGACUUCCCCCCUGAGGCAGCAUGAAUCAAAUAUCUGGAAUGUAGUUCUCAAAAUAACCUUUGAUUAUUAUACAAGUGUUGCCUAUAUGUUGCAAAAAAAAAAAAAAAGGAAAAUGAAGAUCAGAAGCGGGUGGGGUAGUUUACAGCUGCAGUCCGGACAACAGGAGCAGGUACAUGUGUGCAUGCUGUAUGUGUCCAGAUGUCUGCAGAGGUCAGCAGAGGGUGUUGGAUCUCCUGGAGCUGGAGUUACAGGUUGUGAGCCCCCCAAUGGUUUCUGGGCACUGAACGUGGGUCCUCUACAAGAGCAGCAAGCACUCCUGUCUGCUGAAUCUUCUCUGCAUCCCCUUUGGCCUUGUAUUUCUGAGAUUGGUCCUCAUCAGUAUCUUGGAGUGGUCCACUCUUUGCAGUAGACUAUUUUUAGACUAUUCCAUAAUUUAAUCUAUCCAUUCUUCUGCUAGGGAUGAUUCCAGUAAGGUCUAUAGUAAAUAAAAUUUCUAUGGACAUUCUGAA